rnacentral:rRNA from 1 species
CCUACGGGUGGCAGCAGUGGGGGAUAUUGCACAAUGGGGGCAACCCUGAUGCAGCGACGCCGCGUGAGUGAAGAAGUAUUUCGGUCUGUAAAGCUCUAUCAGCAGGGGAGCAAAUGACAGUACCUGACCAAGAAGCCCCGGCUAACUACGUGCCAGCAGCCGCGGUAAUACGUAGGGGGCCAGCGUUAUCCGGAUUUACUGGGUGUACAGGGAGCGUAGACGGUUAUGUAAGUGCUGAGUGAAAGCCCGGGGCCCAACCCCGGGACGGCUUUGGAAACUGUUUAACUGGAGUACAGGAGGGGCAGGCGGAAUGCCGGGUGUAGCGGUGAAAUGCGUAGAUAGCAGGAGGAACACCGGCGGCGAAGGCGGCCUGCUGGACUGAAACUGACGUUGAGGCUCGAAAGCGUGGGGAGCAAACAGGAUUAGAUACCCGGGUAGUC